UGAGUAACGCGUAGGAACCUGUCACACAGUGGGGGAGUAACGCUGGGAAACCGGCGCUAAUACCGCAUGUGGUCAGAGAUGAAGAAAGCAGCAAUGCGCUGUGUGAGGGGCCUGCGUCCGAUUAGCUCGUUGGUGGGGUAACGGCCUACCAAGGCGACGAUCGGUAGCUGGUCUGAGAGGAUGGUCAGCCACACUGGGACUGAGACACGGCCCAG
rnacentral:rRNA from 1 species